rnacentral:rRNA from 1 species
AUUAAACAAGAGUUUGAUCCUGGCUCAGGAGGAACGCUGGCGGCGUGCCUAACACAUGCAAGUCGAGCGAGAAGUAAAUUAACAGAGAUUUCGAUCAAAGUAAAUUUAUGGAAAGCGGCGGACGGGUGAGUAACGCGUAGGCAACCUGCCCUUUGCACAGGGAUAGCCUCGGGAAACCGGGAUUAAAACCUGAUAACGCCGAGAAAACACAUGUUUACUCGGUCAAAUAUUUAUAGGCAAAGGAUGGGCCUGCGUCUGAUUAGCUAGUUGGUGAGGUAACGGCUCACCAAGGCGACGAUCAGUAGCCGACCUGAGAGGGUAAACGGCCACAUUGGAACUGAGACACGGUCCAAACUCCUACGGGAGGCAGCAGUGGGGAAUAUUGCACAAUGGGCGAAAGCCUGAUGCAGCAACGCCGCGUGAGCGAGGAAGGCCUUUGGGUCGUAAAGCUCUGUUGAGAGGGAAGAAAAAAAUGACGGUACCUCUUGAGGAAGCCCCGGCUAACUACGUGCCAGCAGCCGCGGUAAUACGUAGGGGGCGAGCGUUAUCCGGAAUUAUUGGGCGUAAAGAGUGCGUAGGUGGCACCUUAAGCGCAGGGUUUAAGGCAAUGGCUCAACCAUUGUUCGCCUUGCGAACUGGGGUGCUUGAGUGCAGGAGGGGAAAGUGGAAUUCCUAGUGUAGCGGUGAAAUGCGUAGAUAUUAGGAGGAACACCGGUGGCGAAGGCGGCUUUCUGGACUGUAACUGACACUGAGGCACGAAAGCGUGGGUAGCAAACAGGAUUAGAUACCCUGGUAGUCCACGCCGUAAACGAUGAGCACUAGGU